rnacentral:rRNA from 1 species
AUGCAGCGCCACAUCGACCCAUCGCAUCGCCCCAGGGAGAGCCACUCGCUCACCAUGUCCUCCCCGGCGACGGAGCAAGCCAUCUUCUUCCUGCGCAACCACGUCGUCACCAUGACUGCAGUCGACGGCGUCAACGCCACGUCCCCCAUGGCGGUGGGCCGCACUCUGGAGGCGCAACUCACCGUCCCGGUCAACCAGCUUCGCGUCACGGCUCACCACCCGGAGCACUACCUCGUCAUCUUCAGCCAGCCCGCGCACCACGUCAACGCCGUCCGUCGCGGGUCCAUC